UCCCCUUGUUUUCUCUCGUUCUUCGCUCCCGCCUCGAGGCUCUGCUGCAGAUUAAAUGAAGAAAUGAAGGGCAUGGAAAGUCUAGCGACACAAUUGUAUCCUUGACUAGAUGGAAAAAGUCUUUAUCGUUGCUGCAGUGUUUGUCCUGAACACAUUUUUGUCCUAUGAACUUAGAAAUUUAUC